GACUGUGUGGCAUAGUGGUUUGAAUGUUGGACUACAACUCUGGAAACCAGGGUUCAAUUCCCAGCUCAGCCA